UAUAUCACAAAAUCAUCAUGCAUGCCAUUAAGAGGAAGUCCUAUUUAUCAGUCUACAAGCAUUUAUUGAGGUCCCUCGCCCCUUAGGAGCUGACAGCAGAUGACAGCUGACAAUGAUGACAGUUGUAAUCAUUGGCUUUCCAAGACUGCAACCCUCAAACUGGUUCUGAGGUCAUCAGCUUCAACAGUUUCUGGUUCACAUGCACACAACUGCUCCUUCCGGAUGACGCAUCACUGAGACAUCUGCCUGUGAGUGCACAUUUGAGAGUGUGAUGGGUAAUUUUAGGUAUCAGCUUGACUGGGCUAAGGAUUCCCACAUCACAGGUAAACCAUUAUUUCUGGGUAUGACUGUGAAGGCGUCUCUGGAAAGGAUCAGCAUUUCAAUCAGUGGACUCAGUAAACCUAACCGCCUUUCCCAGUACUGGUGGGCAUCCUCCAAUCAAUUGGGUUCCUGAAGAGAGCAAAAAGACAGAUUCUGUCCUUCUGGUUAAGCCAGGACAUCCACCUUCUGCUCUUGGACAUCAGCUCUCCCAGUUCUGGAGCCUUCAUUCUCAGGCUGGGACUUAUACUAUCAGCUUCCCUGCUUCUCAGGCCACUGGCCUUGAAAAGAUGACCAUGGUGGAGGAUGUGAUGGGAGCCUUUGCAAAGCAGCAGUAGGGACACAAACUCAAUGGCAGGAGGUUAGGCAGAAAAGAGGAGAUGAGAAAUCAUGGCAACAAGUAGAGACACCACUUUGGGGAGGAUUUUCUACGAGUGAAGCAAAGGUGUGGGGUGAGAGUUAUGGGGAACAAAGUUAUUGUUCUAUGCACAUAGCCGAGGGAGGAUUGCCGUCACUGCAUAUCUUCUCCUCCAGCCCUCCCAAGAAAUCCCCCUGGAUGCUUCCUUAACUUCCAUUUUUUUUUUCUUAUUUACCUGUGGCCUUUAGGACAGUUAGGUUUCCUCCAGCUGUGACAAACCAGGAAGUGGUGGACGGCAGCAGUUUCUGCUGAGCAGAACGGGUUCGGGGGAAGCCUGCAGUUCCUCUCUGUUGAGGAGCGGGCUCCUCCAACCAGGUUCACGCUGUAGCUAUGACAGGGCCACAGGAAUGAAAGGAAGGCCACUAGAGGAACAUUAGACAGGGACAGGAAGGCUUCUGCAGGGACACUCACAGCAGGUGGGCCACCCUCUUGUGCUGUGGGGCCACCCCAAGUGAGGAUGGAGAAUGAUUUUAUUUGCAGGCCUUGAGAGAGGCCCAUGCCCUCCGCCACCUCCAACUCUCCAGCUCUCUCCUGACAUCAGAGAAAAGAAAGCCCUUCCCUCCUUCCUGUAGACAGUGAGAGGAUUUGGGGCUCUGGGCUCCCUUCUGUCUGCACCAGCACGCCCGCCCUGCUGUUGCAUUGCUUCAUAAAAAGUGGGCAUGUGGAAAAUGGAGCAGGAACUGGUGCUUAGACAGCAAUAUUUUCCAGAAUUCCCUAGAGCAGUCUUCUCACAACUCAUUAAUCUUUUGAAUUUGCAUUCAUAUUUGCUAAACAGCAAUGAAUCUGCAAAAGAUACCCAGAAAGGAGUCCUCUUUCAGAGCUGCUUUCCUCCCUGCUCUUGGCCAUGGUCACCUGCUCCACACUGAGUACCCUCCUCCGCAGCCACAGAGCAUCAAGGCCCCAGGGGCUUUUUGAAUUUUCCCAGAGCCGCACGCUGCAGCCCGAGGGUGACAGCCACAACCUCAAACCCACCAAUGGGAUUUACCCAUAUUCCACGACCCUGCACAGAGCCCCCACACAGUCAUGAAGUCAUCUGGCUGCUUCCACCCUAGUUCUCUCUCCUCCCCACCCCAUGCGCUCCACUUGCCAACUUCCUUGCCUUCCUCUCACCUCUCUAAUCCAGAGUGUCUCUAUGCUGCUGCUUGUAGCACGAAGAGUUCCCUUACAUCAUAUCCUGAGAUCUUUCUUUCUUAGGCUUAAAAUAAACUCUACUCUCAGGCCUGCAAACUCAGCUGUCAAGAUGUAAAGGUAGCUUUUACAGUUAGAAAUCCCUUUAUGUUUUUCCAGGUAACCACCCAUUCCUUAGAGGGACGAUCCUUCUGAUUGCAUAGAUUGGAACCAAAUGCCUACAGUGUUUUAAAAAUUAUUUAUUUGAAAAAUACCUCAAAGAUGUUUGCUUCCUCCAUGGAACCAACAAUAGGGUUCACCCUAUACUACACGUUACAGGCACUACAGUUUAAUAUGUGUUAACCAAUAGGUAGCUUUAGUUUUAAUAAGAAUAAUUUUUUCACAUUGAUCAACAUUAACUGGAACACUGGAAAAAAAAACUGACCGCCAAGUGAGACCUUAACCACCAGGGGCAGCCUUGUCACACCAGGUGAGACCACCAGGUGACAGCCCUGUCACCCCAGGCGAGCGAUUGACCACCAGGGAGAAGCCCUGUCGCCCCAGGUGAGAGCCCAUUACACUAAGUGAGAGUCCCUAAUCUGCAAAGGAUUUUGUGUCAGUGAUGAAGCAAUUAAACACCCUUGCCUGAGCAAUGGUAACAGACUCCAUGGAGGUUGAUCAUCUCCUUUGAAAUAAAGCUGUCCUACCAUCUGCACCAUGCUUAUAGAAUUCACUUCCAAAUUAUUUCACCACAGGGUGUCUCCUUUUUAUUUUUACUGCCAUUUAUUUUACUGCCAUUUUUUUAAUGGUUGCAAUCUCCAAGCAUCCACUUAGGAAACACUGGCCCUCUCAGAAAGACAUAGCUGACAGCUUGAAGUGUAGUUUGUCUGAAGCCCUAAAAGUGAGCCAUCCAAAUAUGCAUGUGUGUGUUUCUGUAAAACUGGUGACUAGCUAAAAUUGAAAAGUAUUGGAGCCCCAAAACCUGUGUAUAUGUGUAUGAUGGAUGUCUGUAUAUACAUGUGUGUGUAUCAUUAUGUGUGUAUAUGUGUGUGCAUGUGUAUCAUUAUGUAUGUAUGUGUGUAUAUCUCAUUAUGCAUAUGUAUGUGUAUAACCAUGUACGCAUAUGUAUAUCAUUAUGUACAUAUGCGUAUGUACUAGAGGUAUGCAUGUCAUUAUGUACAUAUGAUACAUGAACAUAUAAUGUGCAUGUGUGCAUCAUUAAGUAACUAUAUGUGUAUGUGUACAUGUAUAUCAUUAUGUAUAUAUGUGUGUAUAUCAUUAUGUAUAUGUGUGUAUGUAUAUCAUGUAUAUAUGUAUACACAUCAUUAUGUGUGUGUAUCAUUAUGUAUGUGUACAUAUAUAUCAUUAUGUAUAUACGUGUGUAUAUCAUUAUGUAUAUGUGUGUAUGUAUAUCAUGUAUAUAUGUAUACAUAUCAUUAUGUGUGUGUAUCAUUAUGUAUGUGUAUGUGUGUACACACAUAUAUAAAUGAAUCCAGGAAUUGCCUUUCUGAUAUAGAUGCACUGAGAGUUUUAUGCAUGUUAAAACAAUUGGAAAGUGAAUCAGGACUUUUAUCUGAUUACCAAUAUAGGAAAAGAUUAUUGCUCAUUUAUGUUUUCUCAUGAGGUUCCUGUUUACAGGAUACGAUUCACUGGAAAAUAAAGCCAAAGGUUAUAAAAGCAAUUCACCGUGGAGUGUUGUUCUUUGUCUGUGCACAGAAUGCGUAGCUCUUGCAUACUAAGUUUUCAGGGUCAGAAGGAAACAGGAAGCCUUUAAUGGAGAGCAUUGAUCACUCAUCAGGGAAGUCCUGCCGCACUGGGAGAAGGUGAAUCACUGCGCUGCCUUCAACUGGCUGCAUGACUGCAUAUUUAAGGUGAGCAUUAACUAUAUUAACACACUGGGCGUCACUGUACAAUUCUUUUUAGAACCCUUCCCAAAGUUAGCAGCCUUCCUUGGUAGACUUAGGGAUCUUGGGUUUUAUUGCUGUACCCAGACAACUAAAUGGGAGAAUGUUACGUCAGAUCUCAGGCUUGUUGAAAUGUGCAGGGACCCGGUGCUGGGGUAAGAUGAGACUUUGGGAAUCUUGGGCAGGCAUGCGAGUUAUUGGGGUCAGAAUGUAGCAGGUGGUAGAUUGUUGCCUUGAUGGCCCCCAGUGAAUCUCACCUCC
rnacentral:lncRNA from 10 species